rnacentral:rRNA from 1 species
CCUGGCUCAGAUCGAACGCUGGCGGCGUGGCUAAGACAUGCAAGUCGCACGAGAAAGUCCUUCGGGAACGAGUAGAGUGGCGAAAGGGUGAGGAAUACAUGGAUAACGUACCCCAGGCACAGGGAUAGCCGUGGGAAACCGCGGGUAAUACCUGACGCCGUCAUGAUGCUGCAGGGCAUCUUGAUGAAAGGUGGGGACCUUCGGGCCUAUCGGCCUGGGAGCGGUCCAUGUCCUAUCAGCUUGUUGGUGAGGUAACGGCUCACCAAGGCAACGACGGGUACCGGGACUGAGAGGUUGACCCGGCACAUUGGGACUGAGACACUGCCCAGACUCCUACGGGAGGCUGCAGUAACGAAUAUUGCACAAUGGGCGCAAGCCUGAUGCAGCGACGCCGCGUGUGGGAGUAAGCCCUUCGGGGUGUAAACCACUGUCAGGGACUACCAAGCAAUGGAGGUGAAUAAUCUCCUGCGUUGAGGCGUCCCAGAGGAAGUCACGGCUAACUUCGUGCCAGCAGCCGCGGUAAUACGAAGGUGGCAAGCGUUGUUCGGAAUCACUGGGCUUAAAGAGCACGUAGGCGGAUUGUCAAGCGUCUUGUGAAAUCCCUCGGCUUAACCGAGGAAUUGCUGGGCGAACUGACAGUCUUGAGGCAAGUAGGGGCGCACGGAACUCUUGGUGGAGCGGUGGAAUGCGUAGAUCUCAAGAGGAACGCCAGAGGCGAAGGCGGUGCGCUGGGCUUGACCUGACGCUGAGGUGCGAAAGCCAGGGGAGCGAACGGGAUUAGAUACCCCGGUAGUCCUGGCCAUAAACGAUGUCUACUAGAUCUGAGGUGUNCUGACACACUUCUGGUCGAAACAAAAGCGUUAAGUAGACCGCCUGGGGAGUACGGGCCGCAGGCUUAAACUCCAAGGAUUGACGGGGGCUCCACACAGCGGUGGAG